AUUUUUUAAGAUGGCAGACCAAAAGUCUUACAUAAACCCUAUAUUUUCACAUUUUCCUUCCUAUUUUGUCCUCAUCUCCUAUUACAUCUCCGUAUAUCUGCAUCAGUUUCUUCAGAAGAGUUCUCUUUCAAUCUUUGAAUCUCUACAGCCACAACAUUAAUUGUUACUGGAAGAAUUAAUUCCCAGAUACGUUUAUUCCAUUUGCCCUUUGAUUCCUGAAUUGCCCCAAUCGAUUAUCCUUCCCUCAAUCAGUUUUAAUCGAAUGGUGCUCUUCCCCUUUAAUGCCACCGCUAAAGCUUCCGCUUCUCCACCUUCUGUCUAUACAAAACAACCUAUUUUUUGUCUUUGUAUCUUAAUUUUCUCCGGCGAAUACGCAUGUUAUAGUGACAAAGAGGGAAAUCCGGUGUUCCCUCUGAUGCUUUCGAUUGCAUAUUCAGAGAAGAGAGGGAGGGAGAACCAGAGAACACAGAGAGAGCAGUGGUAGUUAGAGAGUGAAAGAGCGAUAGGAGAGAGAGAGAGAGAGAGACAAUGGAGAAGGGAGACCAGGCAGAGGGGUUAAAGCGAUGCCGGUUCAUUCAUCUAGGGUUCCGACAGAGGGGUUCAACCGAUGAGCUGUAAUCCGGGUUUACCCGACCCAGAUUGGUUUCAUGACUCAGUCGCUUAAUUGUUUAUGUUUUAUUUGUUAUCUUUUUGUGGGUGGUGUGUUUCCAAUGAGAAUAUUGAAAUUAAAAGUUUCAAGAUUUUGAUGUUUUUGGUUUGCAAAAGUGAAGAUCAGCCAUGGCUCCUGCUGGAAAAGCUUUACGGUUUUUUCUUGAAGCCAAUGAUUGGAUACAGUGCGUGUUUGGUUCGCGGAAUUUGUUGGAAUUUGGAUAUAGUUAGUUUACCUAAAGUAAAUCACAAUGAUUAUUUUUUAAUUCUUUUUUUGAACGACCAACAAAAGCCUGAUCACGCGAGUAAACCCAAUGGCAAAAGGCCACCCACGCCUGCAAACACAGAUUGCGCUGGUGACCUGGCCGGCCACCGUUCCAGAGGAAACCCGCAGCCCGAUGACCCACUUGGCUCAACCCAGAGCAUUUUGCUCCAAGCGAGGCGAGACUCGAACCCUUGACCUCCACAUUGGAAGGUCGUGGGGUUGCCAAUGCACCAGAGGGUCAUCGGCGAAAAUGAUCAGUUUGAAUGCACAUAUGAAUACCUCUUUAUAUUGGUAUGUUUAUCUGAAAAUUUUGGUUUGUUUGGACCAGGUUUUGUGAUGCAGGUUUGCCAAGUGAUAUAACUAUUGUCAUUGAUAAAGUGAAGUUCCAUCUUCACAAGGUAACUUUCCCUGACAUUACAUGCAGUUAAAGAUAUCCACAUUUUGGUAUUGCAGCUUUGACCCAUUUUGAAUGGGUCAAUUUGGGUUGUGUUUUAUCUUAAAACCUUUAGCUAAAAGGUGAAUAAGUCAUUGGUUAGCACAUAAUUAACGCAUUAAUCAUGUAUAUAAAACGGACGAAAGAGUGUUUACGGGUCAACCCAGCCCAUCCCAUACUAAAAGUCAUUCGCUUUAAUUCAAGCCUGUUUGGCCUGUGGGGCAACAUGCUCAUCUUGUUACCUCUGUUAAAGAUCAUAUGUUUUCAAAUAAUUUUGUGUGCGCUCAUUUUGAUCACAAGAUUAGUGCAUUUAUUAUCAUUAGAUUUUGAUUUUAACUAUGUUCAGUUUUAUAACAAAGAGCUAGAUUCUGGAAAAUGCAUUAUCUUUUGCAGCUCGUUUUGUUAUGGAGAACAUGACUAUUGAGGCGAUCAUCCAUCAAAGCCGGAACCACACCGCUGCCAGCUAAGACACAGUAGUCCGAACCACAUUGCAUGCUCUAUUUUCGGCUACAUCUAAUAGGUUCCAGUCACUCUUGAGUUCGCGAAGUGGUUGCCGGAAAAUUGUUGCUGGGAAUCUAUGGUUUUUCUUGGUGUGUCAAUAGUAACUUAUAAAGUUUAUAUGUAAAUUGUAUAAGAAGACGAGAAGAAUGGAACGUCUUGAUGGAACGAAUUCAUACAACAAUUUAGCUUGACCUUUUUGUUUGCCUUCUUCUGUGAUUAUUAUUUUUUAGUGCUUUUAGGUUAAUAGUUUCCAUUGAUAUAACUAAUCCUUUUUCAGAAUAUAUGAUAUAUAUUUUGGUUUUGAAUCUCAGGUCACCUACAUUGGAGUGUUUAUAUACUUAAAAUGCUGUAGUGUACACAGAAGUCUAGGUCCAAAUGUUUCAAAGGUUUUAUUAGCAACAAUUGAUGAAUGGGCUGAAGAAGAAAUUAACGCCAUGGUUGAAGUUGGAGGAAACAGUUCUGCAAAUUCAAUUUACGAGGCCCAUGUUCCUAAAGGAGUUAAACCUGGCCCAGAUGCUAGCCUUGACUUUGAGCACCGUACUAAGUUUAUCAGAUUAGGUACAACGUCUUACGUCUGGCAAUAUCUCACCAUGGACGAGUCUAUUUUACUCUUUUGGGGACCCCUCGUAUGCUAAAGAUCAUAUAUAGCUUCUGUCUUUGAGCAUCACAAAGCCACGAUUUUCAUUGUAAUGUACCGUCUCACAAAUUCGGACCGGGUUCGGGCUUCAGAUAAAAAAGAACAGCCCUACGCAGUAUGCCUUAUAAGUGCAAUUGCAGUCUCUGCUAGAAUAAAGAACUUGACUCAAAAGUCGCAGGAUAAAACCCACUCAAAGCUUGUCUGCCAUGGGAACAAGCAGCACAAGGAAAUCUUCAAAAGGUCUUGAUGGGCUCUUUACGUGUCGAUGUUACACCAUGUUAACAAGUUGCCUCUAUUUUUGUUAUAACAACUUUUAUUAUAAUGUUUAUAGCCGUUUCUUUUUUUA